rnacentral:misc_RNA from 1 species
GAAGUAAAAGUCGUAACAAGGUUUCCGUUGGUGAACCAGCGGAAGGAUCAUUACAGCGAAGCGGCGCGAGCCGCCUUUCGAACCACCGCGUACCGAACCCCCCACGUUGCCUCGGCGGGCGCCGGGCGCCCCGCGCCCGCCCCGCCGAACGGCCCCCCAGCAAGACCCCUUCCGUCGAGAUGGCGUCGUCUGAACCCUCCGGGGAAAACGUUUGAAACGAAAAACACAGCUUUCAACAAUGGAUCUCUUGGCUCCGGCAUCGAUGAAGAACGCAGCGAAACGCGAUAGCUAGUGUGAAUUGCAGAUUUCAGUGAAUCAUCGAGUCUUUGAACGCACAUUGCGCCUCUUGGUAUUCCUCGAGGCAUGCCUGUUCGAGCGUCGUUACGCCCCUCAAGCGCGAGCUUGGUGUUGGGGACCGCCCCUGAGACACGGCGGCGGCCCCGGAAUGCAUCGGCGGUGCUGGUCCCAGCCCGGAGCGCAGCAGACAUGCGGCUCCGCGGGCGGGGCCGGCGCCCGCCGGACAAACGACGAGACCCCUCCACAAGUCGACCUCGAAUCAGGUAGGGAUACCCGCUGAACUUAAGCAUAUCAAUAAGCGGAGGA